UACGUAGGGUGCAAGCGUUGUCCGGAAUUAUUGGGCGUAAAGAGCUCGUAGGCGGUUUGUCGCGUCGGCUGUGAAAACUCGGGGCUCAACCCCGAGCCUGCAGUCGAUACGGGCAGACUAGAGUGCUGUAGGGGAGACUGGAAUUCCUGGUGUAGCGGUGAAAUGCGCAGAUAUCAGGAGAAACACCGGUGGCGAAGGCGGGUCUCUGGGCAGUAACUGACGCUGAGGAGCGAAAGCGUGGGGAGCGAACAGG
rnacentral:rRNA from 1 species